rnacentral:rRNA from 1 species
UAAUACAGAGGAGCCAAGCGUUGUCCGGAUUGACUGGGCGUAAAGCGCACGCAGGCGGACGCGCGCGUGGGGUGUGAAAUCUGGCCGCUUAACGGCCAGGCGCCAUCCCAUACGGCGCGUCUGGAGUGAUGCAGAGGUCGAUGGAAUUGCCGGUGUAGUGGUGAAAUGCGUAGAGAUCG